rnacentral:pre_miRNA from 1 species
UUUGUACUCCCUCCGCCCGAAAUUAAUUGUCAUAGAAAUGGAUAUACCUAGAUAUAUUUUAGUUUUAGAUACAUUCAUUUUUUUCAUUUUGGUGAAAAGUAAUUCCGGACGAAGGAAGUUUCUA